rnacentral:rRNA from 1 species
AUUGAACGCUGGCUGCAGGCCUAACACAUGCAAGUCGAGCGAGCGGCGGACGGGUGAGUAAUGUAUGGGGACUGCCCGAUAGAGGGGGAUAACUACUGGAAACGGUGGCUAAUACCGCAUACUAUCGGAUAAUCCCUAUGGGAUUAGCUAGUAGGUGGGGUAAAGGCUCAACUAGGCGACGAUCUCUAGCUGGUCUGAGAGGAUGAUCAGCCACAGUGGAACUGAGACACGGCCCAGACACAUACGGAGGCAGCAGUGAGGAAUAUUGCACAAUGGGCGCAAGCCUGAUACAGCCAUGACGCGUGGAUGAAGAAGGCCUUAGGGUUGUAAAGUACGUUCAGCGGGGAGGCGUUACCCGCAGAAGAAGCACCGGAUAACUCCGUGCCAGCAGCAGCGGUAAUUC